AGGGUUUGAAGAUGAAGAAGAACAAAACUUGAUUUUUCUUGCAUUCUUUCCUUAAAUCCUUAUCAAAGUGAGAGGAGACCGCAAGACCUAAUCAGCAACAAGGGACCUCUUCACGUACACAGACACCAUGUACAUCGCACCC